GGGAAAAUCGUGCACUCAUUGCAUGGCAACCACCACGGGAGUUCUCCCCACAGAAAAGCAAAUUAAAACCUGAGUCAAAUAAUUCCCGAGGGAAGAACCCACCCCGAGGAGCACACAGAAGCUUCUCUGAGGCAGCGCGUGGUCUGGGAGCCAGAGAACCACAGGUGGGCUCCAUGAGGAGUGCACGCCCGGGGAGGGAGGACAGACAGCCGAAGUUGGUUGAAUCACGGACACAGAAGCCAGAGAUGCAGAGGGUGCACGGUGCCCAGCACACCGGCCCAGCCUUCCCAUCCCGAGUCUCCAUCCGCAGAAGUCAGCGCAGCCCCCGGUGGGCAGGAGUAUCACUGCGGCCGCACAGUUCACAGCGGCAGGAAACGUCCUUGGCCCAGAGUGUCCCCCAGCACUGGACACAGGAUGCCAAGGCCUUCGCGGCCGCCUGGGAGCAAGGGGGGUUACGCUGUGUGUUGGGUAAGAAGAGCAAGACUCAGAAAAAACGCACACAGGCCUCUAACUUUGCUACGCAAUUAUAAACAGACCCAAUCCGUAAUACGUUUUGGGUACUGAACCCUCCUGCACACACUUCAGACCCCAGUGCAUACGCACAAACAAAAAUAGUGCGCAAUUAUGUACAAUAAAGGUUAGGAUGUGGGAUAUCCCA
rnacentral:lncRNA from 13 species